AACACAUGCAAGUCUGACGGUAGCACAGAGGAGCUUGCUCCUUGGGUGACGAGUGGCGGACGGGUGAGUAAUGUCUGGGGAUCUGCCCGAUAGAGGGGGAUAACCACUGGAAACGGUGGCUAAUACCGCAUAACGUCGCAAGACCAAAGAGGGGGACCUUCGGGCCUCUCACUAUCGGAUGAACCCAGAUGGGAUUAGCUAGUAGGCGGGGUAAUGGCCCACCUAGGCGACGAUCCCUAGCUGGUCUGAGAGGAUGACCAGCCACACUGGAACUGAGACACGGUCCAGACUCCUACGGGAGGCAGCAGUGGGGAAUAUUGCACAAUGGGCGCAAGCCUGAUGCAGCCAUGCCGCGUGUAUGAAGAAGGCCUUCGGGUUGUAAAGUACUUUCAGCGGGGAGGAAGGCGAUGGGGUUAAUAACCUUGUCGAUUGACGUUACCCGCAGAAGAAGCACCGGCUAACUCCGUGCCAGCAGCCGCGGUAAUACGGAGGGUGCAAGCGUUAAUCGGAAUUACUGGGCGUAAAGCGCACGCAGGCGGUCUGUUAAGUCAGAUGUGAAAUCCCCGGGCUUAACCUGGGAACUGCAUUUGAAACUGGCAGGCUUGAGUCUUGUAGAGGGGGGUAGAAUUCCAGGUGUAGCGGUGAAAUGCGUAGAGAUCUGGAGGAAUACCGGUGGCGAAGGCGGCCCCCUGGAC
rnacentral:rRNA from 1 species